rnacentral:rRNA from 1 species
AUUGAACGCUGGCGGCAUGCUUUACACAUGCAAGUCGAACGGCAGCGCGGGCUUCGGCCUGGCGGCGAGUGUCGAACGGGUGAGUAAUGCAUCGGAACAUGCCCAGUAGUGGGGGAUAGCCCGGCGAAAGCCGGAUUACUACCGCAUACGACCUGAGGGUGCAAGCGGGGGACCGAAAGGCCUCGCGCUCUUGGAGCGGCCGAUGUCGGAUUAGCUAGUUGGUGGGGUAAAGGCUUACCAAGGCGACGAUCCGUAGCUGGUCUGAGAGGACGACCAGCCACACUGGGACUGAGACACGGCCCAGACUCCUACGGGAGGCAGCAGUGGGGAAUUUUGGACAAUGGGGGCAACACUGAUCCAGCCAUGCCGCGUGCGGGAAGAAGGCAUUCGGGUUGUAAACCGCUUUUGUUCGGGAAGAAAUCCUCUGGGCUAAUACCCCGGGGGGAUGACGGUACCGGAAGAAUAAGCACCGGCUAACUACGUG